CAGUGGGUGCUGGAGGUGCUUUCCUGGCCGUUCCAAGCUUUUCAGGAGGUGCUGCUUGUACAAAUGUCUCUCCUGGAUCGUGGGAUCAGCAACACUGAUUGCUGUUGCUUUUCUGUUUCUCGUCCAAAUCUUUCCCAAAAAGGCAGGGUUACCAGCCACUAAAUCAAGAGCAGAUCAGGCUGCCCAGGACCCCAUCCAAUCUGGCCUUGAACUCCUCCAAAGAUGGAAUGCCUACAGCUCUCUGGGCAGCAAUGCUAAGGCCUCACUGUUCUCUGACGUGACUCUGAAAUGCGUAGAAAGAAAGGAGUUCCUGCUGUUGUUAAUUAAAAACAUGUCUUCAAAUGCACAAAAACGAAAAGUUGCAAAAGGAGGUUUAAGCUGUACUCUGACUUGCCUUGUGCCAUGGACAUGCCCUGCUGCCUGGAACCAAAGAUGUGUCAUAGUGCUGGAGGAACAGUGAGUGUUGGGGGAAAUGCGUGCUCAAGUCUUCUACUGCACAAGGUCAGACACACAGGUGCAGAGCUCCUCCUUGGAGAGCCGCCAUCAGCUAUGAUGAAUAACCACCGUUUGCCACUUUUACCUGCUGAAUACCAACAGUGAAAGAGCUGUGUCACACCCCACAAAGAGAAUUGUCUUUUUACUGUGUACGCUCUAAACAGAAGAAGCUUUGUCUCAGAGAACUGCAUUUAAAUAAUGAUGAGGAAAAUAUUAUUCUCAUCACAUAUUUAAGUAACUGAGAUGGAAGCAAAGGGGUAAACACACAAAAACACUAGAGAACCAGAAAUAGCAAGUGGAAGGAUGGAAUGAAAGACUGGAACACUGGAUGCUGAUGCUACAACACAUGUGGAAGCCAUGAAAUAAGUGGGAUCAGCAGAAGGAAGCAGAAGGAACCUCUUCUCACCUCUUGGCAGUGGAACACUCCUUUGGAACAGGCCACGUGGGACGUGUCUGACCAGGCAACAGAAUCAAACCUGUCCACUUGUAGUCUCCAUGUUAAUCUGUAUUUUCCUACAAAUUCAGGUAAAAAUGUGUCUGUCCCCAAGGGCUGUGCAGUACAAUCUCUGCGCGUGCAGUAGGCCUGCCAGCUGCUGGCAUUCAGUGACAUGAGCCAACAGCUUAUACCUCUGCAAGUAAAACAAAUCAAAAAGCCCCUGGAAUUUACUUAUUUUAUCCUCUUUGGAUGGGCUUCAAACUUCUUUCUUACCAGCUACAUUUGUUUGUCCAACAAACCAUACUACCUCUCCACAAAAACUUUGCCUAACGGUUUGUAAUCAAGCUUUUGUUUAGAUUAAUUCAGUAGUAACAUUUUUUCAGCUGUUUGCAUUUGAGUGAUAUCUGCUUUGGGAAUAACCUAGGUUUAAUAAUGAAAACUUGAAAACAUUCAACUUGCCUGCUGACUCUGCACUACCUAAUACAGCUGUAUCCUUCCUUUCAGGAGAGAUGCUACCAGAUGACAAAGGCUUCCCAAACUAUCCCAUGAGCCUAGUUAUUUGGAAAAAAAAGUUCAGUUUUAACAGAUUUUGUCCCUUCUCUCUAAGCAGGAGACAAUAGUACUACUAAAUUGUGCUACUAGGUUUAAGUGUAUCUAACAGCACACAGGACAGUGGCCAUGUUGAAACCAUGGUGAAUUUUAUUCACUUGUCCCCUGCUUCUGAAUUUCCUGGUUCAUUUCAUAUUUUUAUUCUUUGCAGUGGGAUUAUAAGGGCUUUAUCACCAGAGAUCUUCUUCUCCUAGGUAACAUAAAACAUGCAACUGUUUCCAUCAUACCUGUGGAAAGUGGCCUUUGAUGCACCUCAUGCAUUGUGGUUUGCUAGCUCCUGUGCCACUACUUUAUCUAGUAGUACUCUGUUUUUCAGAGGUAUGUCUCCUGAUUUGUUAAAACUUUCCUAACUACACAAAUGUGUGAAUAGCAGGUAAGCUGGAACCACUAACUUACAGUGGUGACACUUUAUCAUUCACAUUUAUUUUUCAUCAGCACUCCGUGGUUUGCAUAUUUUCCACAUAUUCCCCAUUCAAAGACUACUUAACCUCUCAAGUUCAUCUUUGGUCUGUCUGAGCACUCUCACAGCAGUUUAAGAUUAUUUAUUUUUAAAUAGGAUUGCAAAUCAUGGAAUUUUAAAAUUCUUUAUUGCCAAAUGGUGAAGACAUUUUGCUAAUGAAUUGCUGGCUUGUCUCCUUCUCUUUACAACAUUACCUAUAUUAACUAUCCAAUGGAUGUGAGUUGCAGAGGUUAGAGCAUUCUGAUGAACUGAUAGAAUUUUGAUUUCAAGUAGGAAGUAGAAAAAGGUAUAAUGAAUUAUGAAGAUAUCAUGUUAAACAAACAUUCAGAAAUACAGGCAGGAACAGACAAGAGGAGAAUGAUUCUAGUUUAAACCAGUAAAUAAAAACCAGUCAUUUAUAAUAGGCUAUGUUCUGUUCAAAAUACACAGCUCUAUCUCUUGUAAGUUUUUAUUUGAGAGGGGGAAUAUAAAGGAAAGGAAAAAGUGAGAGACCUUCUCAUCCCCAUGAUUAGCUCAGCAGAAGCCUUUGCUUAGCACACAGCAGUCAGCUCAAAUGUUAAGCGAAGCAAUGACAAGGAAGAAAAAUGACUUACUCCAUUGCUACUAAGUGAAUCAGCCACACAUCUUUAUUUGGCUAAGAGAGAUUAAUGAUGUUAACCUGUCUUAAGAAGGUUAUUAGAAAUAGAGAUGGAGAGCUCAGUCACGAACAUCAAGAACGAUCAAUGGAUGAAAAUAUUUUAUGCUGCAAGCAUGGGAAAAUGAAAUGACCUAUCUCAAAAAUGACAAGGUGAGAAAAAUAGAACAACACUGGGAAGGAAGAUAAGUCUACUUGUAUUUUCUUACAAUACUGGAAUUAAGUUAAAAGCAAAAAUAACAAUAACAAAAUCCUUUGAUGCUGUCAAAGUCUGUCUGUAGAUUUCAUUGCUACAAGAUGUUUUGCAGCGUUCACAUAACUGCUAGCCACGCAGAAUUCACAAAGUAGAGAACAUCAGAGCAGGGGAUGCUUACAAAGUAAUUAAGUCUUGAAAUGAAUAGAAACUGACCUGAAAUGAAUGAAACAACCUCCAGUUAUUGUUGGACUCUUCUGAAAGACUGUUUCUCUGCAUAAACUCAGUGCAGUCCUUCCCAAAAACUUUCUGAAGUAGACAAGAGUCAAGGCAACUGAUAUUGGACUCUGAUAAACUCCUACAAUUCCUACAGUUAGGAAGUUCUUUGUUUUCUGCUAGCUGUGCUGAGUUGUAAGGAAAACAGUUUCACUCUAGAUGCUAAAAUGCCUGGCAUAUAAUUUAGGCUGUGCAAAAGGGAAGUUACAGGCUGUAUCUGAUUUCAGAUUGGACCUCAGGAAUUAAAGGAAUAUGUUAGCCUUCCUCUGCAGAGGAGAGCUUAGACAUGGGCAUAUGUGAGAUCUCAGGGAUGGCCUUAACAUCAGAAAUACCUAGGUUCCUCCUGUAGCCUAUCUACACCUUCUUAUUGCCCAAAUGCUUGCCUGGACUAGUUUUUGGAAGAAGCUGGCUGUCCACGAGGAUAUCCUGUUUGUUGUUUUAAGGGGAACUGAAGAUAUAUAUAGAGAGAGGCAAAUACUUCAAAGCAAUUUUUCCUUUAGUCAUAAGAUUACUUGUCCAAAGUGGUUCUGCUACUUGAAACUCAGCUAUUCCCAGGCUGUACCAGAAUAAUGGUAAAAACCCAAUGAGCUGUAAUUCCUGAGCAAGCUCUGACCUGGUGAAACUCCACCAAACUCCAGUGACUCACAGAGACAUCAACCUCAGAAACAGCUCAGCUUCAGCCUUGCUAUAAUGCACCUGAAGACACACGUUGCACAUGUUAAAGCAGCAACAAAUGCUCGCUUGCUUUAUUUGUAGGCAGCCACAGAAACCACACACAGCUGUAAAGCUGUGACCUCCCAGGCUCUGUGGGAAGAGCAGCAUGGCUAACUGGGGCUAACGGGGCACCCAGCUCCUUCAAACAAGAGACUGCAGGGCUCGCACUGCACUUUGGGCUCAUCAAGAGCCUCUUCUUUCCUCGGGAAAAAGUGGGGAGCAGAGGGUCCCCAGCAUGGCUGAAGCAGGGGUUGCUCACCUGUCGAUGCUGAUCACACAGAGGGUCAUGAUGGAGGCUGUGCAGCACAUGACAUCCAUGGCAAUGAAGACAUUGCAGAAAAGGCGCCCGAAGAUCCACUCGCCACCGAUGAGAUCAGUCACGCUGACGAAGGGCAUGACGGCCAGAGCCACUGAGAGGUCGGCCAGGGCCAGCGAGACGAUGAGAUAGUUGGAGGGCUGCCGCAGCUUCUUCACGAAGCAGACGGAGAUGACCACCAGACAGUUGCCGGCGACAGUCAGCAGCGUGAUGAGGCUGAGCACGGCCCCGAUGACAACUUUCUCCACGUUGCCGUAGCUGAGGAUCUGCUCCCCGCAUUGCGAGUCGUUCCCGGGCGCGGGGCUGGCGGCGGGCAGCGGCGGGGGAGUG